AGGACACCGUGAGGAUUGACAUUGAUUCUGUGGGUGGUGGUGCAUGGCCGUUCUUAGUUGGUGGAGCGAUUUGUCUGGUUAAUUCCGAUAACGAAAGAGGCUUGCUAAAUAGUUACGCGACCAUCUUGCCCGAAAGGCUUUGAACUAAAUAAUGGUUUUGUGAAAUAAUUUUAGCAACAUCGUCUUUAAAUAAACUAAAUGGCAAUGGUUGUUAAACUAACUAUGAU
rnacentral:ncRNA from 1 species